AGAGUUUGAUCAUGGCUCAGGACGAACGCUGGCGGCGUGCUUAAUACAUGCAAGUCGAGCGAGGUUACUGUGACAGAUCCCUUCGGGGUGAAGUUGCUUUAACCUAGCGGCGGACGGGUGAGUAACGCGUGGGUAACCUACCCUAAAGUUCGGGAUAACAGCGGGAAACCGCUGCUAAUACCGGAUGCCUUUACCGUGUGGCAUCACAGGGUAAAGAAAGGUAACGCUUUAGGAUGGGCCCGCGUCCCAUUAGCUAGUUGGUGAGGUAACAGCUCACCAAGGCGACGAUGGGUAGCCGGCCUGAGAGGGUGGACGGCCACACUGGGACUGAGACACGGCCCAGACUCCUACGGGAGGCAGCAGUAGGGAAUAUUGCGCAAUGGACGGAAGUCUGACGCAGCGACGCCGCGUGAGCGAUGAAGGCCUUCGGGUUGUAAAGCUCUGUCCUUGGGGAAGAAGGUCUUCGGACUUGACGGUACCCAAGAAGAAAGCCCCGGCUAACUACGUGCCAGCAGCCGCGGUAAUACGUAGGGGGCGAGCGUUGUCCGGAAUUACUGGGCGUAAAGGGUGCGUAGGCGGCCCUUUAAGUCAGAUGUGAAAGCCCGCAGCUUAACUGCGGAAUUGCAUUUGAAACUGGAGGGCUUGAGUGUCGGAGAGGGUAGUGGAAUUCCCAGUGUAGCGGUGAAAUGCGUAGAUAUUGGGAGGAACACCAGUGGCGAAGGCGACUGCCUGGACGAUAACUGACGCUGAGGCACGAAAGCUAGGGGAGCAAACAGGAUUAGAUACCCUGGUAGUCCUAGCCGUAAACGAUGGGUACUAGGUGUAGGUGGUUUCGAUACCAUCUGUGCCGUAGUUAACGCAUUAAGUACCCCGCCUGGGGAGUACGUGCGCAAGCAUGAAACUCAAAUGAAUUGACGG
rnacentral:rRNA from 1 species